rnacentral:lncRNA from 1 species
CCUCACAGGUGUCUCUACAAUGGGCUCUGGGUUUGAUCUAAGCAAAUCCAGUUUUGUACUUUUACUUGUCUGUGUCGAUUCUUCUACUAAACAAAUUUCAUCAAGUUCAAUCUUAGUGGCACUAGUUCCUUCUCCAAGAAACUCUUUUUCUAAAAAAAAUACCUUAUUGCUGACGAACACCUUUUAUUCUUCAGUAAGGUAGAAGUAAUAUCCCCUAAUUUUUUUUGGAUACCCAACAAAAGAGUA